GACGAACGCUGGCGGCAGGCUUAACACAUGCAAGUCGAGCGCCCCGCAAGGGGAGCGGCGGACGGGUGAGUAACGCGUGGGAAUCUGCCCUUUGGUGUGGGACAACCACGGGAAACUGUGGCUAAUACCGCAUGAGCCCGAGAGGGGAAAGCAGCAAUGCGCCGAAGGAUGAGCCCGCGUCGGAUUAGCUAGUUGGCGGGGUAAUGGCCCACCAAGGCGAUGAUCCGUAGCUGGUCUGAGAGGGUGAUCAGCCACACUGGGACUGAGACACGGCCCAGACUCCUACGGGAGGCAGCAGUGGGGAAUAUUGGACAAUGGGGGAAACCCUGAUCCAGCCAUGCCGCGUGAGUGAUGAAGGCCUUAGGGUUGUAAAGCUCUUUCGACGGGGACGAUGAUGACGGUACCCGUAGAAGAAGCCCCGGCUAACUUCGUGCCAGCCGCCGCGGUAAUAC
rnacentral:rRNA from 1 species